ACGGAGGAUCCGAGCGUUAUCCGGAUUUAUUGGGUUUAAAGGGUGCGUAGGUGGUUUGAUAAGUCAGCGGUGAAAGUUUGCAGCUUAACUGUAAAAAUGCCGUUGAAACUGUCGGACUUGAGUGUAAAUGAGGUAGGCGGAAUGCGUGGUGUAGCGGUGAAAUGCAUAGAUAUCACGCAGAACUCCGAUUGCGAAGGCAGCUUACUAAGCUACAACUGACACUGAAGCACGAAAGCGUGGGGAUCAAACAG
rnacentral:rRNA from 1 species